GAUGAACGCUGGCGGCGUGCCUAAUACAUGCAAGUCGAGCGAACAGACGAGGAGCUUGCUCCUCUGACGUUAGCGGCGGACGGGUGAGUAACACGUGGAUAACCUACCUAUAAGACUGGGAUAACUUCGGGAAACCGGAGCUAAUCCCGGAUAAUAUAUUGAACCGCAUGGUUCAAUAGUGAAAGACGGUUUUGCUGUCACUUAUAGAUGGAUCCGCGCCGCAUUAGCUAGUUGGUAAGGUAACGGCUUACCAAGGCAACGACGCGUACCCGACCUGAGAGGGUGUUCGGCCACACUGGAACUGGGCCACGGUCCAGACUCCUACGGGAGGCAGCAGUAGGGAAUCUUCCGCAAUGGGCGAAAGCCUGACGGAGCAACGCCGCGUGAGUGAUGAAGGUCUUCGGAUCGUAAAACUCUGUUAUUAGGGAAGAACAAAUGUGUAAGUAACUAUGCACGUCUUGACGGUACCUAAUCAGAAAGCCACGGCUAACUACGUG
rnacentral:rRNA from 1 species